UCUGACCACACUGUGGCUGGGACGCGCCU
rnacentral:sRNA from 1 species